ACUCCAUGGUUGAGACAUUUUCUGAGUAGAUCUUUGUAUCGCUCCCAUGCUUCAUAUAAAUUCUCUCCAUCAUGCAUCUGAAAUGAAGUGAUGUCAGAUCUGGCUU